AUGGCCCUCAGGAAUGGCCCUUCUGUCAGGGCUCUCAACUGUCAAUCAAGAAGUCUCCUUGCGACCGGGCCAAUCAGGCUCCGAGGCCAGGGCUCCGAAAGCGCUGAGGGCAGUUGGCUGACCCUCCCAGCACUGGGUGCCAUGAUGAUGCUGCUUUCUUCCUGCUCCUUCAUCCCCACAAAACCCCCUUCCCUCACUGUAGGGGAAAGAAACAUCGCCCUUCUCAGCCGGCAUCGCCGAGAGACCACCCGUCCCUCUAGGUCACUCUGGCCAACAGGAGACUGCACUUCCAGAAUGCUUCGCAGGCAAACCAUUCAACAUCACAGUAAUCCAAGCCUAUGCCCCAACCACUAAUGCUGAAGAAGCUGAUGUUGAAUGGUUCUGUGAUGACCUACAAGACCUUCUAGAAAUAACACCAAAAAAAGAUGUCCUUUUCAUCAUAAGGGACUGGAACACAGAAGUAGGAAGUCAAGAGAUAUCUGGAGUAACAGGCAAGUUUGGUCUUAGAGUACAAAAUGAAGCAGUACAAAGGCUAACAGAGUUUUGCCAAGAGAAUGCAUGGGUCAUAGCAAACACCCUCUUCCAACAACACAAGAGACGACUCUACACAUGGACAUUACCAGAUAGUCAAUACCGAAAUCAGAUUGAUUAUAUUCUUUGCAGCCCAAGAUGGAGAAGGUCUAUACAGUCAGCCAAAACAAGACUGGGAGCUGACUAUGGCUCAGAUCAUGAAUUCCUUACUGCAAAAUUCAUUUCCUGUAGGCAAUGACUCAACACACUUAAGUAACAAAUGAGCUCGUGCAGAUACAACUCAUGCACACCAUUAUAUCACCCUUUGGAGAGCCACCACUUUUGUUCUCAGAGCUAUAUAAGACCAGGCUCCUCCGUCCAUGGCAUUUUCCAGGCAAGAGUACUGGAGUGGGGUGCCAUUAUCUUCUCGUAUACAGGAAGUCCCUGGCUGCUGUACCAGCCAUCCACAAAUAAAGCAUAUCUGAAGUCUUCUUCCA
rnacentral:lncRNA from 1 species